UUUGGUUUGAAAAUUCUUUUUACUUGCAAAUCUGCGGCACUGCGAUUGGCACCAAAUUCGCCCCAAGUUACGCCAACCUUUUUAUGGCAUUUUGGGAAGAAACAUGUGUAUUUAUAGAGCAACAGUGAAAAACGAACUUGAUGUCCUAUUGCCGAUUUAUUGAUGACAUUUUCUUUAUAUGGAAUGGAACCAUGGAAGCCC